CAACUUUCAGCAACGGAUCUCUGGCUCUCGCAUCGAUGAAGAACGCAGCGAAUGCGAUAAGUAAUGUGAAUUGCAGAAUUCAGUGAAUCAUCGAAUCUUUGAACGCACCUUGCGCUCCUUGGAUUCCGAGGAGCAUGCCUGUUGAGUGUCAUUAAUA
rnacentral:rRNA from 1 species